rnacentral:rRNA from 1 species
UACGGAGGAUCCGAGCGUUAUCCGGAUUUAUUGGGUUUAAAGGGAGCGUAGGCGGGUUGUUAAGUCAGUUGUGAAAGUUUGCGGCUCAACCGUAAAAUUGCAGUUGAUACUGGCAUCCUUGAGUACAGUAGAGGUAGGCGGAAUUCGUGGUGUAGCGGUGAAAUGCUUAGAUAUCACGAAGAACUCCGAUUGCGAAGGCAGCCUGCUGGACAUUAACUGACGCUGAGGCGCGAAAGCGUGGGGAGCAAACAGG